CAUUUUUCAGUUGUGUUGCAUCUCGCGCGAGUACGUUGUCGUCGAGUGGUGGUUCUUUAUUCUAUGGAGUGGUUCUGAAAGCGCUGCGUUAGGGGCGACUGCAACCAGGCGUUGCGGCAAGUUACGGUGGGAACUUCUGUCCGUGCUGUGUGAUUGCGACGAGGACGACUGCCGCCAGCAGCGGCGUGUCGCCGAUUUCGUCUUUGCCGACAUCGAGCAAGUGCAGCGCCGGAAGUGUUGCGUUUUGCACUGCAUUUUCCUUGUGAUAUGGGAGAUCGCAACGCAGAGACGACCAGAUGCAUACGAAAGACUACCAGCGGAGAGUGACCUGUGCCAUAUUUCUCUUAACCUCUCAGGUAUUCAAGAAAUGGCAACAUCCAGAAGAAGACGCCAUCUUAUCCAGCACGUUAUGGGUACACUCUGGUGGCUCCCGCCCCUGCAUCCUACGACCACCGUGUCCUCACUAUGUUCACUAGGGAGUUCGAAGCCUUUGGCGGCUCCUGCCACUGCGUCCUGCCACCACCGUGUCCUGACUACGUCCACUAGGGAGUUGGCAGCCUUCGUGAUGAUGCCAAGCAGGCUGGAAGCUGACAGAAAGAUCGAGGUUGCCUCGAAAUUUUACCCAAGCCGUGCCACACACUUGGGCCAGGCCUCUUGCAAACGACGUAUAACCAGGCUCAACGCAUGAUGUCGAGUGAGUCCAG